UUUCCGUAGGUGAACCUGCGGAAGGAUCAUUAAUGAAUGAAUGUAGAGUCGGUUGUAGCUGGCCUCCUGGAGGCAUGUGCACGCCUUCUCCGUUCAUCCACACACACCUGUGCACUUGUGAGACGGACUAACCCUUCCGAGGGGAUGCCCCGUCUAUUAUACAUAAACUCCAAUUUAUUAAAUUUGAAUGUAAUCAGAUGUAACGCAUCAUUGAACUAAGUUUCAACAACGGAUCUCUUGGUUCUGGCAUCGAUGAAGAACGCAGC
rnacentral:misc_RNA from 1 species